rnacentral:tRNA from 2 species
GAGACACUAGCUCAGCCGGUAGAGCACCGCCCUUUUAAGGCGGGUGUCGAGGGUUCGAAUCCCUCGUGUCUCA